AUGUCUGUUCUGAAAUAUGUGGAGAAAGAAGGUAAAAAUGAAAAGAAAAGUCAGGCGCAUGGUCUUGUAGCAUAUUUUGAGACCUUUGAUUUUGUGUUUUAUUUGCACAUGAUGCUGCAUAUAUUAGGAAAUGCAAAUACUUUGUCACAUUCUUUACAAAAGAAGGAUCAAGACAUCCUAAAUGCCAUGUCAUGUGUCAAGUCCACAAGGAAUGAGCUACAAGAACUAAGGGAGAAUGGAUGGGACUCACUGAUACAGAAGGCAUAUUCAUUUUGUGAACAACAUCACAUUGAGAAGGCGGACAUGCUGGAGCAAUAUAUCAAUCGACACAAACCAAGACAAAAAACUAAUAAGACAAACCUCCAGCAUUACCGAGUAGAGUGUCUUAAUUCUGUUAUUGACUGGCAACUUCAAGAGUUUGAUGACCGUUUCAAUGAGGUAAAUUCUGCAUUACUUGGUCACAUGGCUUCUUUCAACCCAAACGAUGGAUUUGUUGCUUUUAAGUUGGAUAGCUUAGUGAAGCUAGCUGAGUUUUAUCCAGAUGAUUUUGAUUCAAAAAAAAAGGAUGAUCUUGGUCCUGAACUGCGCACUUACAUUGAUAAUGUGCGAGCGGAUGAAAGGUUUGCUAAUUUGGACGGGAUUGCUGAUCUUGCGAAGUUAAUGGUGCAGACAAAUAAACAUGUUACUUUUCCCUUGGUCUAUCAUCUUUUAAAGUUAGUAUUGAUAUUACCAGUUGCAACAGCAUCCGUGGAGAGAUGCUUUUCAGCUAUGAACGUUGUCAAGAAAAAGUUGCGCAACAAAAUUGGUGAUCAAUUCAUGAGUGAUUGUCUAAUUUGCUAUGUGGAGAAAGAGAUGUUUUCUCCCAUUAGUAAUGAUGCUGUGUUUGAUCUUUUUAAGGCAAUAAAAGAUCGAAAAGGGAAGCUCUAA
rnacentral:rRNA from 1 species